rnacentral:rRNA from 1 species
GUAGGUGGCAAGCGUUGUCCGGAAUUAUUGGGCGUAAAGCGCGCGCAGGUGGUUCUUUAAGUCUGAUGUGAAAGCCCCCGGCUCAACCGGGGAGGGUCAUUGGAAACUGGGGAACUUGAGUGCAGGAGAGGAAAGUGGAAUUCCACGUGUAGCGGUGAAAUGCGUAGAUAUGUGGAGGAACACCAGUGGCGAAGGCGACUUUCUGGCCUGUAACUGACACUGAGGCGCGAAAGCGUGGGGAGCAAACAGGGAUUAGAUACCCUGGUAGUCCACGCCGUAAACGAUGAGUGCUAAGUGUUGGGGGGGUUUCCCGCCCCUCAGUGCUGCAGCUAACGCAUUAAGCACUCCGCCUGGGGAUACGGCCGCAAGACUG